rnacentral:rRNA from 1 species
GACGAACGCUGGCGGCGUGCUUAACACAUGCAAGUCGAACGAAGUGGCGAACGGGUGAGUAACGUGUAAUCAACCUGCCCUUCAGCGGGGGACAACAGUUGGAAACGACUGCUAAUACCGCAUACUGAAGGAGGGGAGUGGGUCUGGUUGGCUAGUUGGAGGGGUAACGUGCCCACAAGGCGAGGAUCAGUAGCCGGUCUGAGAGGAGGAACGGCCACAUUGGGACUGUGGCACGGCCCAGACUCCUACGGGAGGCAGCAGUGGGGAAUCUUCCGCAAUGGACGGAAGUCUGACGGAGCAACGCCGCGUGAGUGAUGACGGCCUUCGGGUUGUAAAGCUCUGUUAGUCGGGACGCGGUACCGGAAUAGAAAGCCACGGCUAACUACGUGCCAGCAGCCGCGGUAAUUC